UGCCAGUGGUAUAUGCUUGUCUCAAAGACUAAGCCAUGCAAGUGCCUGUAUGAGUGUUUAUACAACGAAACUGCGAAUGGCUCGGUAAAACAGCAAUAAUUUCUUCGAGGAUAAUACUACUCGGAUAACCGUAGUAAAGCUAGAGCUAAUACGUUCCAUUGCAGCGCGAGUAAUCCGCUCGUGGUACUAAGUAUUAGGUACAACCCAGAUUUUUCUGGUGAUUCAUACUUAUCUUCUGAUCGAACUUCGUGUUCGACGCCUCGAUUAAAUUUCUGACCUAUCAACUAUGAUGGUAAGGUAGGGUCUUACCAUGGUUGUGACGGGUAACGGACCGUGGGUGCGGGAUUCCGGAGAGGGAGCCUGAGAAACGGCUACCACAUCCAAGGAAGGCAGCAGGCGCGCAACUUACCCAAUCCGAACUUCGGGAGGUAGUGACAAAAAAUAUCAAUAGGGGGACCAAUGGUCUUCCUAAUUGGAAUGAAAACAAUGUAAACACCUUAUUGAGGAACCAGCAGAGGGCAAGUCUGGUGCCAGCAGCCGCGGUAAUUCCAGCUCUGUAAGCGUAUACCAAAGUUGUUGCAGUUAAAACGCUCGUAGUCGGAUUUUGGCGUGGUGCUACUGAGGUCCCUGAUUGGGCUCCGAGGUUAGUCCCGCCUUUGUGGAUGAGGGCGUGGUGGUUCUUAACUGGAUUGCCGCGUUUUCGCCACUGUUUACUGUGAAAAAAUUAGAGUGUUCAAAGCGAGCGAUUGCCAUGAAUACAUUAGCAUGGAAUAAUAGAAUAGGACCUGAUCCUGUUUUGUUGGUUUGUCGGUAUUAGGUAAUGAUUAAGAGGGACGGUCGGGGGCAUUUGUAUUCCAGGGUUAGAGGUGAAAUUCUUGGAUCCUUGGAAGACAAACAGCUGCGAAAGCGUCUGCCAAGGACGUUUUCAUUGAUCAAGAACGAAAGUAAGGGGAUCGAAGACGAUCAGAUACCGUCGUAGUCUUUACUAUAAACUAUGUGAUCUGGGGAUUAGCCGAGGCCUAUUUGGUUCGGUUAGCACCCUCCGGGAAACCAAAGAUUUUGCAUUCUGGGGGGAGUAUGGUCGCAAGUCUGAAACUUAAAGGAAUUGACGGAAGGGCAUCACCGGGUGUGGAGCCUGCGGCUUAAUUUGACUCAACACGGGAAAACUUACCAGGUCCAGACAUAAUAAGGAUUGACAGAUUGAGAGCUCUUUCUUGAUUCUAUGGUUGGUGGUGCAUGGCCGUUCUUAGUU
rnacentral:rRNA from 1 species